GGGAAGCAGCUACAGCACCGCACGUCCCGUUUGCGUGCCCCGGCUGUGUGGCAGCUGUGCCCCAGCGCUCCGCAGCCUGCCUGUGCCACGCAGGACCGUGACCAGCGGGCAGCUCGCAGCACCCAGCGCCACGGGGAGCUGCAGGACGCAGUUGCCGAAGACCUUUCAACAUCAGGCCUGGAGCCUUUGAACUCUGCCGAGGGUGCGAGGCCAGCGGCUGAACCGCGUGCCUCAGGGAGGCAAACCCGGUGGUCCAGAGGCCCGGGGCCCUGCCUGCGGCCUCCUGCUGCCACAAGGCCCUGCCCCGGCCCCUGCGCUGCCACCUCCGUGCCCGCCGUGCUGCACGGUGCCACUGCCCGGCCGCUGCAGCCACUUCCUUGCGUGGCGACGUCUGCGCCUUGCAGGCCCUUCCUCUCACCUGAAAUGCUGCCAUCAAGAUUGGCAUAAUAAAGAAGGAAGAUCUUUGUGAUGUAAACCUCCCUGCACUAAUGUAGAUUUCCUCGCACCAUUGUACAUGUGGCAUUUAAACUGGCCGUGUCCACUAGAGACUUUUCAAGCCUGUUGGCUCAUACCACACCUGGAAAUGGAAAUGCUUUUAAUUUCUGCAGUGCCACAGCUGUUCUAUUUUAAAUGGACCAGCCUUAAAACGGCUACACCUGGUGGAGCCUGGCACAUGGAACAUGGCUGUUGAAGAGGCUGAAACUUUUAAUGCAUUGUGAUAAGCAGAAACUAAAUACCAUGAAAUAAAACGUGGUCAAGAAGUACUUGCUCUUUUUUA
rnacentral:lncRNA from 1 species